AUUGAACGCUGGCGGCAUGCUUUACACAUGCAAGUCGAACGGCAGCACGGGUGCUUGCACCUGGUGGCGAGUGGCGAACGGGUGAGUAAUGCACCGGAACGUAUCCAAUAAUGGGGGAUAACGCACCGAAAGGUGUGCUAAUACCGCAUACGCCCUGAGGGGGAAAGCGGGGGAUCGAAAGACCUCGCGUUAAUGGAGCGGCCGAUGUCGGAGUAGCUAGUUGGUGAGGUAAAGGCUCACUAAGGCGAAGAUCCGUAGCUGGUCUGAGAGGACGACCAGCCACAGUGGAACUGAGACACGGCCCAGACUCCUACGGGAGGCAGCAGUGGGGAAUUUUGGACAAUGGGCGAAAGCCUGAUCCAGCCAUGCCGCGUGAGUGAAGAAGGCCUUCGGGUUGUAAAGCUCUUUCGCAAGGAAAGAAAACUUAUCCACUAAUACUGGGUGAGGAUGACGGUUCCUUGAUAAGAAGCACCGGCUAACUACGUGCCAGCCGCCGCGGUAA
rnacentral:rRNA from 1 species